rnacentral:rRNA from 1 species
UACAGAGGUCCCGAGCGUUGUUCGGAUUCACUGGGCGUAAAGGGUGCGUAGGUGGCGAGGAAAGUCGGAUGUGAAAGCUCGGAGCUCAACUCCGAAAUGGCAUUGGAAACUACCUUGCUCGAGGGUUGGAGGGGGGACUGGAAUUCUCGGUGUAGCAGUGAAAUGCGUAGAUAUCGAGAGGAACACCAGUGGCGAAGGCGAGUCCCUGGACAACU